rnacentral:rRNA from 1 species
AGUGGGGAAUCUUGGACAAUGGGCGCAAGCCUGAUCCAGCCAUGCCGCGUGAGUGAAGAAGGCCUUCGGGUUGUAAAGCUCUUUUGUCAGGGACGAUAAUGACGGUACCUGAAGAAUAAGCCCCGGCAAACUUCGUGCCAGCAGCCGCGGUAAUACGAAGGGGGCUAGCGUUGUUCGGAAUUACUGGGCGUAAAGCGCACGUAGGCGGGUCGUUAAGUCAGGGGUGAAAUCCCGGAGCUCAACUCCGGAACUGCCUUUGAUACUGGCGAUCUAGAGGUCGAGAGAGGUGAGUGGAAUUCCGAGUGUAGAGGUGAAAUUCGUAGAUAUUCGGAAGAACACCAGUGGCGAAGGCGGCUCACUGGCUCGAUACUGACGCUGAGGUGCGAAAGCGUGGGGAGCAAA